GAAGAAGCAGAAAUAAGAUCGUAGGACGAGAAGACCCUAUCGAGCUUAAGUAAUAUGAUAUAGAUUUAUAUUAUGUCUUUUGUAUUAAUUACCCUUAUUUAAGGGAGUAUUUUUAUUAAGAGGAUGUGGAAUUUUAUAUUUUUUAUUUAGAUUGGGGCAAUCGCGGAAAAGAUAGAACUUCCGUUGUAGAUGUGAUUUAAAAAGUGACACCUUUAAAGCAUAUGUAAGUAAUAUUUUAAUGAUCCAUUUUUUAGAAGAAUGAGUAAAGGAAUAAGUUACCGUAGGGAUAACAGCGUAAUUCUUUUGGAGAGUUCAUAUUGAUAAAAGAGUUUGCGACCUCGAUGUUGGAUCGGGACUUCCGGGGGAUGCAGCAGUUCCUAAGGGUUGGUCUGUUCGACCAUUAAAGUCCUACGUGAU
rnacentral:rRNA from 1 species